UACGGGGGGAGCAAGCGUUGUUCGGAUUUACUGGGCGUAAAGGGCGCGUAGGCGGCGUGACAAGUCACUUGUGAAAUCUCCGGGCUUAACUCGGAACGGUCAAGUGAUACUGUCGUGCUAGAGUGCGGAAGGGGCAACUGGAAUUCCCGGUGUAGCGGUGGAAUGCGUAGAUAUCGUGAGGAAGACCAGUGGCGAAGGCGGAUCUCUGGACAGUUCCUGACGCUGAGGCGCGAAGGCCAGGGGAGCAAACGGG
rnacentral:rRNA from 1 species